rnacentral:rRNA from 1 species
GUGGGGUAAUGGCCUACCAAGGCGACGACGGGUAGCCGGCCUGAGAGGGCGACCGGCCACACUGGGACUGAGACACGGCCCAGACUCCUACGGGAGGCAGCAGUGGGGAAUAUUGCACAAUGGGCGAAAGCCUGAUGCAGCGACGCCGCGUGAGGGAUGACGGCCUUCGGGUUGUAAACCUCUUUCAGCAGGGACGAAGCGAAAGUGACGGUACCUGCAGAAGAAGCACCGGCCAACUACGUGCCAGCAGCCGCGGUAAUACGUAGGGUGCAAGCGUUGUCCGGAAUUAUUGGGCGUAAAGAGCUCGUAGGCGGCUCGUCGCGUCGGAUGUGAAAACCUGGGGCUCAACCCCGGGCCUGCAUCCGAUACGGGCGAGCUAGAAUGCGGUAGGGGAGACUGGAAUUCCUGGUGUAGCGGUGAAAUGCGCAGAUAUCAGGAGGAACACCGGUGGCGAAGGCGGAUCUCUGGGCCAAUACUGACGCUGAGGAGCGAAAGCGUGGGGAGCGAACAGGAUUAGAUACCCUGGUAGUCCACGCCGUAAACGGUGGGAACUAGGUGUGGGCCACAUUCCACGUGGUCUGUGCCGCAGCUAACGCAUUAAGU